CUAGGAAUCUUGCGCAAUGGACGAAAGUCUGACGCAGCGACGCCGCGUGCGGGAUGAAGGCCUUAGGGUCGUAAACCGCUUUCAGCAGGGACGAAAUUGACGGUACCUGCAGAAGAAGCCCCGGCCAACUACGUGCCAGCAGCCGCGGUAAUACGUAGGGGGCGAGCGUUGUCCGGAUUUAUUGGGCGUAAAGAGCUCGUAGGCGGUUUGGUAAGUUGGAUGUGAAAUCUCCAGGCUCAACUUGGAGGGGUCAUUCGAUACUGCCAUGACUAGAGUUCGGUAGGGGAGUGUGGAAUUCCUGGUGGAGCGGUGAAAUGCGCAGAUAUCAGGAGGAACACCCGUAGCGAAGGCGGCACUCUGGGCCGGAACUGACGCUGAGGAGCGAAAGCGUGGGGAGCGAACAG
rnacentral:rRNA from 1 species